rnacentral:rRNA from 1 species
GACAGAGGGGGCAAGCGUUGCUCGGAAUUACUGGGCGUAAAGGGCGCGUAGGCGGAAUGGCAAGUCGGUCGUGAAAUCCUUCGGCUCAACCGAAGAACGUCGAUCGAAACUGCCGUUCUUGAGGAUUGCAGAGGAGACUGGAAUUCCCGGUGUAGCGGUGAGAUGUGUAGAGAUCGGGAGGAACACCGGUGGCGAAGGCGGGUCUCUGGGCAAUUCCUGACGCUGAGGCGCGAAAGCGUGGGGAGCAAACGGG